GAUCCUGGCUCAGGAUGAACGCUAGCUACAGGCUUAACACAUGCAAGUCGAGGGGCAGCAUAUUUCUAGCAAUAGAGAUGAUGGCGACCGGCGCACGGGUGAGUAACACGUAUCCAACCUGCCUUAUACUCGGGGAUAGCCUUUCGAAAGAAAGAUUAAUACCCGAUGUUAUAGUCUAACCGCAUGAUUUGACUAUAAAAGAAUUUUCGGUUAUAAGAUGGGGAGUGCGUUCCAUUAGAUUG
rnacentral:rRNA from 1 species